UUCAAGAGUGCUGCGAGGUAAAAAGGGGGAGCUUCUGAACCUUGGUCCUGACUGUGUAUAUAUCUUUCCCAUCUUAGGAAGCUGAAAAUGACACUGAGAACUGGCGGCAAAGAAGAAUCAGCUGGCAGCUGCAAGCAACAAAUUGAACAAACACGGGAACGGCUGCAGCAGGCAGAGCUCACCUUUAGACACCAGAUCGCAGUUCAUAAGAAGAAUGCUCAGGACAACUAGCUCAAGACUCAGAUCUGGGACAGGGAGAUGGCGGAGCAGGGCAGGGAGGUCCUUACUUGAAAUACAGGACUGGAAGGGAUGGAAGCAAAGAGGCUGCCUGAGGGAUACACGAGGCAGAAACCAAUGGCUGCAAGACCAGAGACGCAGAAUCCUCCAAGGAGAGGGCAGUCUGGAUCCUGGGGACCUCCUCCGUUAACUGGAAGAUUCUGCAUGCCCUACCCUAGACGUGCUCCGCCCCCAUGGACUAUUAGGCACAUCCACCUCCUGAACCUUGGUGGCCCUGGGGCCACCCCGAACCCCUCCAUCUGCAACACUUGGGCUUUUUGUAGGUCCAGAAGCAGGUGUCACACUCAAGAGUGACAUCAACACUGGUUCUGCCAAAACUGCCAAGAAGCACAAGGCUAUUAUGUAUGUAAGAGGGCCUGGUCCUUUCCCAGGAUCGCCUUGCAGUCUGUACCCCAGCACCACCCUUCACCACCAGUCAUGGGCUGUAGGCCACAUUCCCCUCCUCCACCAGCUCCUCCACCUAUUCUAUUUGUUAAGAUGACCUGAAUUGGAUGAGUGGCUGGACAACCACUUUGAAAUUUGAAGAGGACUGUGCAUGGUAACAGACUAUGGUGAUUAUAUAUACAUUUGGAGAAUGUAUCAGAUCUACCUGAAUGCUUUCCCUGCCCAUCAUGUCACCUACACUUUGUCCUUCCUACUGUCCCCUAAUCCACCUUUCACCAUUCUGUC